ACGGGUUCAUGUCCUAAUGAAAGGAUUUCUGUCUUGACAAAUACGUUUGAGUAUACAAAGCUAAGUUUUAGAGAUCCUAAUUUAGCUUUUAACUGAUACAUUUGAGACAGAGCUAAGUUUUAGAGAUCCUAAUUUAGCUUCUUUAUUUAGGAACAAAUAUCUAUUUUUAAUCUGUAAUGAUAUCAAAUUUCUUUUUCACUUUGUUUAUAUAAUUGAAAUACCAAGGUGCUCAUAUGAAGUGACAUUAUAACUUUUCGAAUCCUACAUGUUUUCCUUUUUUUCGUAAUCUUUCACAACUCUCAACACGAUUGUGAGCCUAAUGAAACUGAUCUGGACAUGUGAACUUACAGAGAAUGUUACCCAACUAUUCAUCAAAUAACCCAGUCGGGAUAUGGAACUUUUCUUCUGUGUACGGUCUUGAUAUGUUUGAGGCAAAAGUUCGUGGUGAAUUCGGCAUCGGAUUGAAUAUUCAGAUUUUGGAUGAUGUUAAGUUGGAUGUCUUUAUCUUACAUGAAUUUGGACAAGAUAGAGAUAGUUAACGUUCCACCACAUUUGGUGUAUGCAUGUUCGAAAGCGAGUCGGAUCGACAAAUAUAAUACAUUUUCAUUUGAUGG